AUAUCUCACAAUCUCUCCAGCUUUGGAGAGAUUCAAAAUAGAGUUCCAAGUCAUCCAAUACAAGCAAUCCAUUAAAUUAUAUUCACUCAUUAUCCAGUCCGUGAAGCGAAGAGAGCCUUCAAAACUUUAUCAAUUUCUUGAGCUAUUGAAAAUGUAUUACAGGGUGAGAUUUUGGAGACAGGCCUGACUUUGAUUCAUAUUCUAAUUGGAUGAUACUUUAAGUUUCGUGUCAGACAGGGUGAGUUUUAAGUAGGUCCCAUUUUCCUUAAUAUAAAGCAGUUUGCAAGCCCCCAAACUCAACCAUCCCACCCCAUCAUCACCACUCUCAACUCUACAAUUCUCUUUCUCUCUGUUUAUACAUUAUUAUCAUAUCAUAUGUCUCUUUUCUCAACAGAGGAAUAAAGACAUUCCCUUUUCAUUUCUAUACAGAGAAAACUAAAGAACAAAAGUGCAAAAACAUAGACAAAAAGUGCACUAUUUGAUUUCAUCUUCUUUUUUUUUCUUUUGGCUUUUCAAUGUUGAGAAUCAUGAAAAUGUUACUGUCCAUAGCCCUGUUUUUGUGGCUCUGUUUUUCUUCUUCUGUGACAGCCUCUGUGUCAUAUGGUGGCAGAGCCAUCAUCAUUAAUGGCCAAAGAAGGAUUCUCAUUUCUGGUUCAAUUCACUAUCCAAGAAGCACCCCUGAGUUGGGCUCCAACAGAAGAUUAUGGGCAUGUUUGGUGCAGCUGAUAAUCAGAAAAUAUAAGCUAAGAACAUUUUUUCGCUAUUUCUCAAUAGUAAUUUUUUCUUAACUUAUUUAAGUUAAUCGGUAAGUAAAAAUUGUUCUAAAACACUUACAGAUUUCCAAAAAAAAAAAAGGAUGAAGAAGAUGAAG